AAAAGGAGCCGCUCAAAAUAUGAGGACUUGCAUUGCAUGGGAACCAAUAAUCUUCCAAGACGGAUUCAUGAGAUGACUACAAAGGCUAAGGGAGUGCAACCUUCUAGGGCAGAAAUUUAUAUUGACACUCGAACUCGAAAAGAUGGAAGCAUUGUUACUGAAAAGGCUGCUAUUGUAAUUGAUGAACUAAAAAAGAAAAUGGUUGAAGCAGAGAGUUUGCAAAAUUUACAAAGCACCCAAGAUUCUACUGAUU